CUGUUAGUAUGUAAGUUAGUUAGUGUGGGUCAAAUCUUGGAAGCCAAAUUUGACCCGCUUCCCGAUUUUCUAUUGAGCUGAAAAUUUGCAUACAUAUGUAAAUUGGGUGACAAUGCAAUAUUAUUGUACCAUCGAACUGAUCUGGUGAUGGAGACAGGAGGUGGCCACAGGAACUCUGUGAAGAAACAACGCAAUCUAGUGUUUAGGGUUUUUAGAAUUGUCUCGAUGAAUAUUAGUUGCCUGUGGAAAGAAAAGUACAGUCAACGAUAAAAGUAUGUACCAAAAAUGAAAUUUUUGCCAAAAACUUAUU